GAAAUGCUGACGUGCUGUCACUUAAGCACAUGGCUGGAUCCUGUUAUAGCUCAGAGAAAGUAUAUAAAGAGCUUGGCCCUAGGUGAGAUUUCAAAAAAUGAAACAAUGCCCAGCAUGAGGUAAGUGGAAAGUGUUGGGGAUGCAGUGGCUGGGGCCUGACUCUCAGCCUCCCACCCAGGGCUGGGUGACCUUGGGCCUGGAUGAAUAAUGGAUUGUCACCGGAUAGCCAUCUCUUCACUCUCCUGUGAAGCAGAGGGAAUCGCUUCGUCUUCAAAGCGCUGCUGGGAUGCUCUGUCCACUGCCCCUGCUCUGCGGUCAAAGCUUACAGCAUUGGAAGCUGUGGGACGCCCAGGGUGGCCUGCUGCAACACUGGCCACCCAGUCGACUGCUGGGAAUACACCUCCCUCCACUCUUUGGUGUUCUUGGGAAUUUGUCUAAGAACUACUCCGGGGCUCUUUGGCAUGAGUCUGCCCAUGUAGAAGGAGCCAUUUUCCUCCUGAGCUCCUAGGCAAAGCAUUGUUUGUCACCUGGAAUCUGUCACACGGGCUGUGGCUGCGUCACUGCCUGGUGCUCCCUGCAUGCAACAUCCUUUCUGUUUCUAACAAUGACAGGCUUUAAUCUCUCCGGAAAAUGCCUCCAUCUCCAGCUGGGGCUCUCCCAGUCCCUUUAGUCCUCAGGCCUGGGACUGUCAGUCUCUAUCUAUUUCCGACCCCUUGCCCUUUGCUUUCUCUUGAAUUUCCUGAGGCGUUUCCUUCUCCCGUCAGACACUUUAUAGAUUUCACAUUUUCUGUUGUGUUGAUUUUCGUUUGCUGCCUCUUGGGGACCAAGAUUUAAAACCCCACUACUCCCUCCUUUUUCACUGCUCACUGGGCUCAUUUAUUUCCUUUUCUUUUUUGUGGUGCUAGGGAUUGAAUCCAGGGCUGUGUGCAUGCCACCCAAGCACUCUAUCACCGAGCUACGUCACCAGCCAUAUCUAGCUAUUUACUUUCUCUCAUCGCUUUUCUCAAAGAAACAUAAGAAAAAAGUGCUUACAAAAAAACUCACACCAUUUAACUGGAGGCAUUAAGAUUAAGAAAUACAAAAGAAAAAAGAUUAAGAAAUACAGAGCUUUGGGUGGCAUGAGAUUGCACAUGCUUGAGGUGGUGACAUGUGCCAACGCUCCCAGAGGCUGAGGCAGGAGAAUCAAAAGUUUGAGCCCAGCCUAGGCAAUUUAGCAACUUAGUAAGACUUUGUCUCAAAAAAAAAGACCGGGGCUGUAGCUCAGUGAGACCCUAGAAUCCAUCCCUAAUCCCACCAAAGAGGGGCCGGGGAUUUGGCUCAGUAGUUUACCUGCCUGCCUAAUGCCACCCAAAAAAAGGAAAGAAAUAAAACCAGAGAGAUUUAUAUUUUUUGCACAAUGAUAUGUAAACAUAAAGCAAUUAUGGAAUUAUUAAUAUAAAAGACUUCAAUGAAAUCACAUCCUGAUAAAAUUUUAAAGCAAUGAUAUCAGGAUUAUUUUAUGACAUUUUAUCCUCUCAAAUGGUCCAAUCCAGUCAAUGCUUAAGAAGCCACACCCACUUUCUUUCCCACACCCCACCCCCGUACUUGGGGAUGGAACCCAGGGCCUUCACACUGAGCUACAUCCCCAGCUCUACUUACUUAUUUAUUUUUAUUUUGAGAUCGGCCAAGGCAUGGUGGCACAUGCCUGUAAUCCCACCAGUCUGGGAAGCUAAGGCAGGAAGAUGGCAAGUUGAAGCCCACCUUGGGGCAAUUUAGCAAAUUCUCAAGUCCUUGUCUCAAAAGUUAAAAAUAAAAAGUACUGGGUAUAAAACAGUGCAAAAGCCCUGGGUUCAAUCCCCAGUACCACAUUUUCUUUUUUUAAUUGAGAUAGGAUCUCACUAAAUUCCCCAAGCAAGACUUGAAUUUUUGAUCCUCCUGCCUCAGCCUCCCAGAGAGCUGAGAUUAUAGGUGUGUGCCACUGUACCCAGGGUCAUGCCCACUUUUUGCCAUGCACACUAAGAACCAGAGAGAAUAAACUUUAUGUUUGGUCUUAGCUCUCAACCACUUUCUUUAACCCCAUCCUGAAUCUUUAUUUCACCCAGGUCUAAGGUUAGGGGUGAGACUACAUUUAAGGGAAUAAGAAUCCUGAAAGAAAUAGUAUGAGAACAGGAACAAGCUUUAGGAUUCAGAGGCCAGUACAAGACAUGCUGGAUUCCAUUUCUUUUAGCUGACCCUCUAAUAGCUCUCCGAGGUAGGGCUUUUAUUUGUCUAUUCUCAAAGGCAAGAAUGGGGUCUGGGAUGUAACUCAGAGGCACACUGCUUGCUUAGCAUGCACUAGGCUCUGAGUUCAAUUCCCAGGCCUGCAAAAGAAGGGCGAAAGUAAGAAUUCCAGUAACUAUUAAAGUAAGGGUUCCAGUAGCUAUUACAGAAAGAAUUCAUAUACUCAGGGCUAGGCGUAUAAAUAAGCACGUGGACAGACACCUGGUCUAUGUGAAUAAAAGCAAGGUGGACACUACUGAUUUCAUAUGUGUUUCGCUGAAUCACACAUCAGAUUAAACACCUACGGGGACCUUGGCUUCUCGCUAGAAUCUUUGUAUUCUAACUUGACAUCGUGCCUCUAGUCCUUCCCUAUUUUUUCUUUCUCUCCAUUUUCUUGAACCAUGCAUGACAGCUACACCCUCAGCCCCCUUAUCCAUUUUUCCACACUCUGGGCCCCAACAUGGUUCUACUUCCUAUCCCAUGAAGAAUGUUUUCAUUCAGUUUGCCUCCUAAAUAGGAGCCGGACACGAAUCACAAAACACAUGCUCCAGUACGCACACACAUUCUUCCUUCUUUCCCCUCUGAAUUCCUAGCACCCAGCCCAGGUAAGUAUUUCACUCAUCUUGCACCUAAAUCCUCCCUGAUGAUUUUCCAUUGAUAAAGGAAACUGCUAUUUGUGGGCUAUUGCACUCUUUUCUUUGUCACAGGACCCAGCCAUGGUUACUUUCACAUUCUCCCCAGAGCCCACAUAGCGAGCUUGGCACAUGGCAAGAACCUGAUGGAUAUCUGUGGUUAGUCAACUAUUCAUCUGAUGGAUGACUCUCUGGUUUGGCCUCUCAUUUUCCAGGGAGGGCCUGGCCAUCUCUGAAGAGGCAGUUAACACCUGAAAAAAGAAAAGAAACAAGUAGCUCAUGCUUUCAGAUUUCUGUCAUAUGAGGGUGGAGAGGGCCUGGUUAGAAGAGCUCCUCAGUAGUAACUCCUGGCUGUAGAAUCUAUCCACUGUGAGUCCGAAGCUGAAAGGGGUAGAACUUUAGAAAUCAGAGAAGAAAAUAGGAAAGGGGCUUAACAAGCUCUGUAACUACAGAGUGUUUAUUCAAACAAACCUUCUUUCUUAUCCUAAAGACCAGAAAGGAAGUAACUCCCCUCUCUGGAACUCCAGGGUAGGGAGGAACCCACAGUCUUGGCCCAAACUCAGCAAGGCUUGUGCGUACACUGGGAGGUGCCUGCAAAUGGUGAACGAACUAAUGAAUGAGUGAGAGAGAGACUGGC
rnacentral:lncRNA from 1 species